rnacentral:rRNA from 1 species
UGAGUUUGAUCCUGGCUCAGGACGAACGCUGGUGGUGGGCCUAACACAUGCAAGUAGAACGAGGCUUUCCGGUGCUUGCACUGGAAAAUCGAGUGGCGAACGGGUGAGUAAUACAUGAGAAACCUGCCUUGGAGACGGGGACAACCUCGGGAAACUGAGGCUAAUACCCGAUAUCCCUGCCGAGUCGCAUGACUUGGCAAGAAAAUACUCAGGUGCUCCAAGAGGGUCUCAUGCCCUAUCAGCUUGUUGGUGAGGUAAAAGCUCACCAAGGCUUAGACGGGUAGCUGGUCUGAGAGGACGAUCAGCCACACUGGGACUGAGACACGGCCCAGACUCCUACGGGAGGCAGCAGUGGGGAAUCUUGCGCAAUGGGCGAAAGCCUGACGCAGCCACGCCACGUGUGGGACGACGGCCCUCGGGUUGUAAACCACUUUCAGCAGGGACGAAAAUGACGGUACCUGCAGAAGAAGCCCCGGCCAACUACGUGCCAGCAGCCGCGGUAACACGUAGGGGGCGAGCGUUGUCCGGAAUUACUGGGCGUAAAGGGCUCGUAGGCGGUUUGGUAAGUCAGAUGUGAAAACUCCAGGCUCAACUUGGAGACGCCAUCUGAUACUGCCAUGACUAGAGUUUGGUAGAGGAGUGCAGAAUUCCCGGUGUAGCGGUGAAAUGCGCAGAUAUCGGGAGGAAUACCAGUCAGCGAAGGCGGCACUCUGGGCCACAACUGACGCUGAGGAGCGAAAGCGUGGGGAGCGACCAGGAUUAGAUACCCUGGUAGUCAAGGCCGACUAUUCCGCCUAUAGUGAGUCGA